rnacentral:lncRNA from 10 species
AGCCAUGGUUAAUUACUUUAGAUGCUGCUCAACCAGUCAUACCGGCUACUAGAGACUUAUUUAUUACACUGUCCAAAAUACUCUUCAGUUCCUUUGAGGGCAAAAGAAGGAAGCUGACUUGUUUGUGUUCACAUUCUCACUAGCUAGAACUGUGUGUAGCACAAAGUAGAUAAUUAUUUGAUUUGUGUUGAUGACUUUUCUCCUCUAAAGUUAUGUAAAGUUGAGGAUAUUUUACCCUAGAGCAAAUUGGUUCUGUUUUAUUCAUAGUUGAUUCAAAGGUGAUUGUCAUAUUUUGUUGUUUUGUUUUAUGUUUAGAUUGCUUUCACAACAAAAAUUUACCAUCCAAACAUAAACAGUAAUGGAAGUAUUUGUCUCGAUAUUCUGAGGUCACAAUGGUCACCAGCUCUGACUGUAUCAAAAGUUUUAUUGUCCAUAUGUUCUCUACUUUGUGAUCCUAAUCCAGAUGACCCCUUAGUACCAGAUAUUGCACAAAUCUAUAAAUCAGACAAAGAAAAAUACAACAGACAUGCAAGAGAAUGGACUCAGAAAUAUGCAAUGUAAAAAUCAAAAACAUUUUCAUAUAUACCAGAGUACUGUAAAAUCUAGGUUUUUUUCAACAUUAGCAGUAAAUUGAGCACUGUUUACUGUUUCAUUGUACCAUGAAACCAUUUGAUUUUUACCCAUUUUAAAUGUGUUUCUGAAGCAAGACAAAACAAACUUCCAAAAAUACCCUUAAGACUGUGAUGAGAGCAUUUAUCAUUUUGUAUGCAUUGAGAAAGACAUUUAUUAUGGUUUUUAAGAUACUUGGACAUCUGCAUCUUCAGCUUACAAGAUCUACA